GGAAUUUUGGACAAUGGGCGAAAGCCUGAUCCAGCAAUGCCGCGUGCAGGAUGAAGGCCUUCGGGUUGUAAACUGCUUUUGUACGGAACGAAAAGUCUCGGGAUAAUACCCUGGGACCAUGACGGUACCGUAAGAAUAAGCACCGGCUAACUACGUGCCAGCAGCCGCGGUAAUACGUAGGGUGCAAGCGUUAAUCGGAAUUACUGGGCGUAAAGCGUGCGCAGGCGGUUAUAUAAGACAGAUGUGAAAUCCCCGGGCUCAACCUGGGAACUGCAUUUGUGACUGUAUAGCUAGAGUACGGUAGAGGGGGAUGGAAUUCCGCGUGUAGCAGUGAAAUGCGUAGAUAUGCGGAGGAACACCGAUGGCGAAGGCAAUCCCCUGGACCUGUACUGACGCUCAUGCACGAAAGCGUGGGGAGCAAACAGGAUUAGAUACCCUAG
rnacentral:rRNA from 1 species